CCUACGGGGGGCAGCAGUGGGGAAUAUUGCACAAUGGGGGGAACCCUGAUGCAGCGACGCCGCGUGAGUGAAGAAGUAUUUCGGUAUGUAAAGCUCUAUCAGCAGGGAAGAAAAUGACGGUACCUGACUAAGAAGCCCCGGCUAACUACGUCCCAGCAGCCGCGGUAAUACGUAGGGGGCAAGCGUUAUCCGGAUUUACUGGGUGUAAAGGGAGCGCAGACGGCUGUGCAAGUCUGGAGUGAAAGGCGGGGGCCCAACCCCCGGACUGCUCUGGAAACUGUAAAGCUGGAGUGCAGGAGAGGUAAGCGGAAUUCCUAGUGUAGCGGUGAAAUGCGUAGAUAUUAGGAGGAACACCGGUGGCGAAGGCGGCCUGCUGGACUGUGACUGACGUUGAGGCCCGAAGGCGUGGGGAGCAAACAGGAUUAGAUACCCGGGUAGUC
rnacentral:rRNA from 1 species